rnacentral:lncRNA from 1 species
ACACACGUAGGCUUUCCAGCCUAGCCAGUACCUGCAAUGACUGACUUUCUCCACGCAUAGUUGAGGGCACUGUGGGCCACACUGCAGGCUGCCCUCGGCCUGGAGAAUUGCUUCUCCCAGGUCACAGAAGGACACAGCAAGCCGGAAGAGGAGGUCAGGAGUAGCCGAGAGCUCCUGCUAUCACCCAUGACCGUUGGCAGGAAGAAGGAAAAGUUCUGACUGAGGGCUCCAUCAGCUCCAUCCAGGUCAGCAUUGCUGUGGAACAGACUGAUGAGGUGGAGAUUUUAUGCCACAAGUUCACGUGCUUCAUGACAAUGUGAGCAGAGAGUGGCCGCUGUUUCUCCUCGUCUGUCAGUGCAGUGCCUGACAGAGGUGGGCAGGAAAUAUCUUUCAUUUACCCUACCCUGUGGGUGCCCUGGAGCUACCAGAUCUCCGAGGACUCUGGAACCAUCUCAACUUUGAUCACAGGAAAACUUCGUGAGCUGGAAGAAGUUAGUGGGUCCACAGUCCCCACUCACCAGCAGCCCCUGAGCGGAUGGAAUUUUGGAAACUUGGUGAUCCUGCAUGAACCUGCAGGUGGAAGGUGCACUUGGUGGAAAGCCAUCCUUAGAACAACACAAGUGGAGACAGAGAAGACACAUCUAACAAAGGAAGAAGAAUGUGCUGGGAGACAUGUUUGGCCUUCAUAGGUCUUGGACAAAUAAAUCAUGGUUGACCUGAGAAUGGCCCAUGGAUCACAGCUAACCAUCCAUCAGGCAGCUGACCUCAUUCCUUGUGCGACGGACACCUGUGUCUCAUCCUCCCAGAAUUCAGUGCCCCUCCUGAGGGGGCCAGCAGCACAGCUUCCUGGGGGGAGUCACCCCCAGCUCUCAGUACCCAGGCUGUGAGAGUGAAGUCAGCCUCACUAUCUGCUUCCAGCAUUGUCUCCUGGCCAAUCCACACAUUGCACCCCUUGGCCCAGGGAUUGGUUCAAGAAAGAGGACACAACCCAGUCAGGCAAGGUCAGAUGCAUCCGGAGGAUCUUUGCCAUAGCUAUUGAGAGAGAAAGACCUCCAGAGGCCACUUCAUGGAGAGAGCCUGCCUAAGGAUGAAGCCAAACCCAGAGAGGACAGAGCUGGGGAGAGAAGACUCCUGACAGCAUGAUUUCCGUGCCUGGAUAAAGCUAUGCCUGAAGCUCCAUCUGUCCUUCAGUUACAUGAAUCUUCAGUUACAUGAGCCGUCUGGGACUGGAUCCCACCCAGCUGAACUGAGGUUCUGCAAGUUCGGAUUGAUAUAUGAUUCACUGUGGUCACAGUAAGUCUGUUGUAUCUCUCUGGAGGCUUUCCCAGCUGCCGCAAACCACAGUGGUAGUAGGGGGUGGGAAGUCAGCUCAAAGGAGCAAAGCCCUGUUUCCAAAUGCUGGACAGACGAGAGCGCAGGUGGGAUAGGGCCUAGUG